rfam:Ailuropoda melanoleuca scaffold1447_47, whole genome shotgun sequence.
CCCUGGUCUGAGUGCAGUGGUGUUUACAUUUCAUUGAUCACAGCCAACUACAGAGUUCCUUGUUCCUUCUCUCACACUGCUACACUUGACUAGCCUAAA